GAUGAACGCUAGCGGCAGGCCUAACACAUGCAAGUCGAAGGGUAACAGAUAGAAAGCUUGCUUUCUAUGCUGACGACCGGCGCACGGGUGAGUAACGCGUAUGCAACCUACCUUUAACUGGAGAAUAGCCCGAGGAAACUCGGAUUAAUGCUCCAUAAUAUUUAGAUGUCACCUGGCAUUUAUCUUAAAGCUCCGGCGGUUAAAGAUGGGCAUGCGUAACAUUAGUUUGUUGGUGAGGUAACGGCUCACCAAGACUACGAUGUUUAGGGGUUCUGAGAGGAUUAUCCCCCACACUGGUACUGAGACACGGACCAG
rnacentral:rRNA from 1 species